GGUGAAAUGGCUGAGGUUUAGGCAAUAAAUUGUAAAUUUAUGUACGAAAGUUAUUUUCUUUCACCA
rnacentral:tRNA from 1 species